rnacentral:rRNA from 1 species
CCAGGAAAAGCCUCUAAGCAUCAGGUAACAUGAAAUCGUACCCCAAACCGACACAGGUGGUCAGGUAGAGAAUACUCAGGCGCUUGAGAGAACUCGGGUGAAGGAACUAGGCAAAAUGGUGCCGUAACUUCGGGAGAAGGCACGCUGGCAUUAGGUAAAGGGACUUGCUCCCGGCGCCGAAGCCAGUCGCAGAUACCAGCUGGCUGCAACUGUUUAAUAAAAACACAGCACUGUGCAAACACGAAAGUGGACGUAUACGGUGUGACGCCUGCCCGGUGCUGGAAGGUUAAUUGAUGGGGUCAGCCGCAAGGCGAAGCUCUUGAUCGAAGCCCCAGUAAACGGCGGCCGUAACUAUAACGGUCCUAAGGUAGCGAAAUUCCUUGUCGGGUAAGUUCCGACCUGCACGAAUGGCGUAAUGAUGGCCAGGCUGUCUCCACCCGAGACUCAGUGAAAUUGAACUCGCUGUGAAGAUGCAGUGUACCCGCGGCAAGACGGAAAGACCCCGUGAACCUUUACUAUAGCUUGACACUGAACAUUGAGCCUUGAUGUGUAGGAUAGGUGGGAGGCAUAGAAGUGUGGACGCCAGUCUGCAUGGAGCCAACCUUGAAAUACCACCCUUUAAUGUUUGAUGUUCUAACUCGGCCCCGUAAUCCGGGGUGAGGACAGUGUCUGGUGGGUAGUUUGACUGGGGCGGUCUCCUCCCAAAGAGUAACGGAGGAGCACGAAGGUUAGCUAAUCACGGUCGGACAUCGUGAGGUUAGUGCAAAGGCAUAAGCUAGCUUGACUGCGAGAGUGACGGCUCGAGCAGGUACGAAAGUAGGUCUUAGUGAUCCGGUGGUUCUGAAUGGAAGGGCCAUCGCUCAACGGAUAAAAGGUACUCCGGGGAUAACAGGCUGAUACCGCCCAAGAGUUCAUAUCGACGGCGGUGUUUGGCACCUCGAUGUCGGCUCAUCACAUCCUGGGGCUGAAGUAGGUCCCAAGGGUAUGGCUGUUCGCCAUUUAAAGUGGUACGCGAGCUGGGUUUAGAACGUCGUGAGACAGUUCGGUCCCUAUCUGCCGUGGGCGUUGGAAGAUUGAGAGGGGCUGCUCCUAGUACGAGAGGACCGGAGUGGACGAAUCACUGGUGUUCGGGUUGUCAUGCCAAUGGCAUUGCCCGGUAGCUAAAUUCGGAAGAGAUAACCGCUGAAAGCAUCUAAGCGGGAAACUUGCCUCGAGAUGAGUCUUCCCUGGGGCUUUAAGCCCCCUGAAGGAACGUUAAAGACGAUGACGUUGAUAGGCUGGGUGUGUAAGUGCAGCGAUGCAUUGAGCUAACCAGUACUAAUGAACCGUGAGGCUUAACCUU